AAAGGAUGAUCCCUUUAGAUGACGAGUCUUAAUGUGUUCUACGCAUGUCGACAAACUUUUUAAUAAUUCCAUUCAUGCAUAACUGAGC
rnacentral:snoRNA from 1 species